rnacentral:rRNA from 1 species
CAAUAGCGUAUAUUAAAGUUGUUGCAGUUAAAAAGCUCGUAGUUGGAUUUCUGAUCGAGACAUCAGGUCGGGUCCGAGAGGAUCAUGUACUUUGAUUUUGUUUUGAUCAUCCUUGGGGAGAGCAUUUCUGGCAUUCAGUUGUCGGGAUUGGGAUCCUCAUCGUUUACUGUGAAAAAAUUAGAGUGUUCAAAGCAGGCCUCGGCCUCUGAAUACAUUAGCAUGGAAUAAUAAGAUAGGACUUUGGUGGUCUAUUUUGUUGGUUUGCACGCCAAAGUAAUGAUUAAUAGGGAUAGUUGGGGGUAUUCGUAUUCAAUUGUCAGAGGUGAAAUUCUUGGAUUUAUGGAAGACGAACUACUGCGAAAGCAUUUACCAAGGAUGUUUUCAUUAA